rnacentral:rRNA from 1 species
GUGAGGAAUAUUGCACAAUGGGCGCAAGCCUGAUGCAGCAACGCCGCGUGAGGGACGAAGGCCUUCGGGUCGUAAACCUCUUUUCUGAGGGACGAGAAAGGACGGUACCUCAGGAAUAAGUCUCGGCUAACUACGUGCCAGCAGCCGCGGUAACACGUAGGAGGCAAACGUUAUCCGGAAUUACUGGGCGUAAAGCGCACGCAGGCGGCAUCGUAAGUCCGACGUGAAAGCUCCUGGCUUAACUGGGAGAGGCCGUUGGAUACUGCGAAGCUCGAGGUUGGGAGAGGAGAGUGGAAUUCCCGGUGUAGUGGUGGAAUGCGUAGAUAUCGGGAGGAACUCCAGUGGCGAAAGCGACUCUCUGGCCUACACCUGACGCUAAAGUGCGAAAGCGUGGGUAGCGAACAGGAUUAGAUACCCGUGUAGUCC